GAUGAGAACGUAGCGAAAUGCGAUAAGUAAUGUGAAUUGCAGAAUUCAGUGAAUCAUCGAAUCUUUGAACGCAUCUUGCGCUCCUUGGUAUUCUGAGGAGCAUGCCUGUUUGAGUGUCAUUAAAUUCUCAACUACACUGACUUUGAAUUGGUGUGGCUUGGAUUUGGGGGGAAAAUUGUUGUGGGCUUUUUGUAUAGUCUGCUCCCCUGAAAUUGAUUAGCGGUACCUUUGUGGAACUGUCUACAGGUGUGAUAAUUAUCUACAUCUUAGACAUCUGCUGGAAUGCUGCUCUCUAAACCUUACUUGUAUUGACAAUCUUGACCUCAAAUCAGGUAGGACUACCCGCUGAACUUAAGCAUAUCAAUAAGCGGAGGA
rnacentral:misc_RNA from 1 species